GAUGAACGCUGGCGGCGUGCCUAAUACAUGCAAGUCGAGCGAACAGACGAGGAGCUUGCUCCUCUGACGUUAGCGGCGGACGGGUGAGUAACACGUGGAUAACCUACCUAUAAGACUGGGAUAACUUCGGGAAACCGGAGCUAAUACCGGAUAAUAUAUUGAACCGCAUGGUUCAAUAGUGAAAGACGGUUUUGCUGUCACUUAUAGAUGGAUCCGCGCCGCAUUAGCUAGUUGGUAAGGUAACGGCUUACCAAGGCAACGAUGCGUAGCCGACCUGAGAGGGUGAUCGCCCACACUGGAACUGAGACACGGUCCAGACUCCGACGGGAGGCAGCAGUAGGGAAUCUUCCGCGAUGGGCGAAAGCCUGACGGAGCAACGCCGCGUGAGUGAUGAAGGUCUUCGGAUCGUAAAACUCUGUUAUUAGGGAAGAACAAAUGUGUAAGUAACUAUGCACGUCUUGACGGUACCUAAUCAGAAAGCCACGGCUAACUACGUG
rnacentral:rRNA from 1 species